CCUGCCUCUCGGGGGGCUUUCUGUUGAUGAAAAUGAUUUGGCUCAGUCACAGCCAAGACCCACCUCUGCCAGCCUCCCCUUGGCCCCGCUGGGCCGCAGAGGGCCCUGCUUCCUGGAGACUGAGAUUAUGUCCCCUGAACCUGCAUCUUCUCAGGCAGAGCUCCCUGCCUCCCCACACCUAGCCAUGGGGGCUCCCUCCCAGCCCUGCUGUCUGUCCUGGCCCCACUCAGGAUGGCCCAGAGCCAGCUCACCCCAACCCCUCUCCAGGCAGGGGACAGUGUAAGCAAAGGCAUGGAGGGAGGAUCCCAGGAGCACCAUCUCUGGAUCUCAACCAGUGUGGGGGCUAGAGAAGGAGGGGGCUCAUUUCCUCUUUCUCAGGCCUGUCCUUUGGGGUCCUGCAGUCCAGCCACAGGCUCAUCUCCCACCCCCAGCAGACGUCCCCACACUUCCCCGGAGAGCUGUCACCUCUGGGUUCUCCCCCUGCCCCAGGUUUCAGUGCUUCCCUGCUCAGCCUCUGCCCCCAGGUAGCUGUCAGCUCACUGGCCUGUCUCACCCUCCCAGGGGUGUUUGGGGGCAAGGCCUGGGUGGGGGUGCAGGAGGCAGGCUGCCGGGGCAGUCUGCACCUGGUGGCUGCUGCUCCGACUUUCUGCAAGCCCUUGGUUGGCCCUGGUUUAGCCCUGGGCUAUAAAGGGAACAGCCCUUCUAAGAAGGGAGAGCCAGAAACAGAGGUGUUUUUGUCUCAGAAUAGAGUGAGCCUGGAUUUUUGGGAACCCAAAGCCUCUUAUUUCUGAAAUUACCCCCUGGGCUCUCCAGCUUCUGUGGGGCCCGGUCUUGGCUGCUGGCUGCAUGGAGACAAUGAGGACUUGGAACAGGCUGGGGGAGACCCACCUCUCUCGCCACUGGCAGCAGCGACAGAGCUGGGCCCAGCAGGUUGGGGUUCCUGGGAGAGGAGGAAGCGGCCACCCUACCUGGACCUUACUGUGGGGGUCCCAGCAGCCCCAGCCUCCAUGUGGACCUUUUUGGACAUUCAGGUUCCUCCCUCCAGGAGGCCUCACCUGCCUUCCUAGAGCCACCAUCUGUGGUGGUGCCCAGGUGUCGGGGGACAGCAGAGGCACUUCAGAUCACAGUGGGCCACAUCCUGGGAGACGCUGGCAGCCCCUAUCUCACAGGACUUAUCUCUAGUGUCCUGAGGGCCAGGCGCCCUGACUCCUACCUGCAGCGCUUCCUCAGCCUGCAGCAGAGCUUCCUGUGCUGCGCCUUCGUCAUUGCCCUGGGGGGUGGCUGCUUCCUGCUGACAGCGCUGUACCUGGAGAGAGACGAGGCCCGGGCCUGGCAGCCUGGCACAGGGACCCCAGACAGCAAGGAUGUGGACAGCAACGACCCAGAGAGACAAGGCCUGCUUUCGGGCGCCGCUGCCUCCACAGAGGAGCCCUGAGGUCCCUGCCUGCACUCGCCCUGCCUGCACUCGCUCUGCCUGCAAGCCUCCCGUUGGGCCCCACAGUAGCCGUGCCUCGGUUCCUCUUUGGCUGUCCUCGGGGACUCCGGCUGAGGCGCGUCUGCCACUUUUGCAUUCCCGGCUGGAGAGCUGGCAGGACCCUGUGGCUGGGCUGCGAAUGGAGCUGUCAGCACUCUGCAUGGGAGGCCUGGGCCUGUGCCUGUGCCCCACUCAAGGCUGCCCCAGCCUGGGUUCCCCAGCCUGGCUGCUGCUGGGCGCUGAAUAAAGCGAGGCCAGUACAAAGCCUAUGGAUUUCGGGCCUGUA